CUGGUUGAUCCUGCCAGUAGUCAUAUGCUUGUCUCAAAGAUUAAGCCAUGCAUGUCUAAGUAUAAACUGCUUAUACUGUGAAACUGCGAAUGGCUCAUUAAAUCAGUUAUAGUUUAUUUGGUGGUACCUUCUUACUCGGAAUAACCGUAAGAAAAUUAGAGCUAAUACGUGCGUAAAUCCCGACUUCUGGAAGGGACGUAUAUAUUAGAUAAAAGGCCGACCGGACUUUGUCCGACCCGCGGUGAAUCAUGAUAUCUUCACGAAGCGCAUGGCCUUGUGCCGGCGCUGUUCCAUUCAAAUU
rnacentral:rRNA from 1 species